UNGCCAAUGAGGGCAUUCAUUCAGGCAGU
rnacentral:piRNA from 1 species